GAGAGACAUUUUGUAGGCUGGAAUGGGAAAUAUUGCUAUCAACUGUGGAGUUUCACUAUUUACAUAAAAAGUUAAUGAAAAUAUAGUUAAUGUUUUUUAAUUUAUUAUAUUGGCGAUUACAAUUUUGAUUUCGAUUUUGUAGAGUGCUGGUAAAUCAGCAGUUUUCAAUAGUUUAAUUGGACAUCGAGUUUUGUUUAUGAAGGACAACAAAUUAGGAUUCUUGGAUAUUCAAGCUCAGUCAACACUGUUAACCAUGAAAAAUAGGCAUGUCUUGGCAUGUGCGAUUGUUAAUUGUGAGAAACCAAAGUCUGGGUCAAAAUAUCAAUAUGCAGAGUUCAGAUCAGCAGGUUAAUUCUAAGUUAGGUGUCAUCAAUCGGGUCCAUAAGAUGUUUUAUUUGGCUGAGGGUCUGUUAGAAUGAUUGCUUGAGGGGAUUAUCAGUUGGCCGCACCUCUUUCGCUCUCCGGAUAGCGUAGCUUUGCGUAUGACUUCUAUUGCAUCAAAUAAUCUGUAACUCAAGGAUGAAUGUUUCUAUCCAUGUUUCGAGCAUGCUCUAAAACUAUGCUCCAGUAAUUAGGGAAGCCUUUUAUUUGUAGCAGCAAGGCAGUUUCCGACUGGUAUAUUCCAAGGAGAAUUAUCUUUCAUCAAAGUGAUGUCCCAAUUCUAACGCCUUGGUUCAGUCGCUGUAGGAUUUUCUGCUGCAUUGGUGAUUGAAUCAUUAAUUCGAUAGCUUCCUUUUCGGCUUCGAGUCUGAGGAAUGCUCAAUCCUUUUUCCGAUUGAGCUGUUGUUUCUUCGUCGUCUUCUCAAUCAGUCUUGGAUAUUUUCUCUAUAGCGCCUUGGUUCGGUCGCUGUAGGAUUUUCUGCUGCAUUGGUGAUUGAGUCAUUAAUUCGAUAGCUUCCUUUUCGGCUUCGGUUCUGAGGAAUGCUCGAUCCUUUUUCCGGUUGAGCUGUUGUUUCUUCGUCGUCUUCUCGAUCAGAUGCUGUACUUUCGAAUUUGCUUCAUAUGGCUAUGAAGGGACAGAUCCUUGUGGUGGUAGAGGAGUUGAUAAAAACAGAUCCAUCAACAAUAAACAUGGUUGAUAAUAAGGGCAAUACAACAUUGCAUAUAGCUACCAAGAAGGGUAGAACUCAGAUUAUUAAGUUGAUACUUGGACAGAGUGAAACAGAUGGCAUGGCAAUUAACAAGAGUGGCGAAACAACAUUAGACACAGCUGAGAAAACAGGAAACUCUGAAGUAAAAAGCAUUCUAACAGAACACGGUAUUCAAAGUGGAAAAUCGAUAACAAAAUCUCAACCAAAAACAGCUGCUAGAGAAUUUAAACAAACCGUAAGCGACAUACAGCAUGAAGUCCAUCACCAACUAGAACACACUUGCCAAACGCGAAAAAGCGUUCGAGGAAUCGCAAAACGCCUCAACAAUACUAUUGGACUUAAAAAAAGAAGUUGAUGAUGUAGCAACAAUCUUCACAUGACAAUCGACGCUUAGUCUCCCAGCUUCGAUGUCUCGAGCUAUGGCAUAAACAUAUCUUGGCUCUCUAUUAUUGCUCACUGCAACAAAGACAUAAGACAGGUAUCAUUUAGUGCUAUUA